GUCAGUCGUCCGGAGUGCGCCCCCUGUCGACCCGCCGUCAGCAUUUGGCAAUUACGGAACUGAAACCCGAGUGAGAAUUCCAUUCAGGCUUCAGGCCAGAUGCAGUUUUUAUGUGCUGCUGACAUAUAAAGGACAACAGUAUCCAGAGGCAUUUGUAGGCUGCUGCAGUCUGGGAGACUUGCUACUGAAAAGGAAUGACAUGUUUUUGUGUAUGUACAUACAACAAAAAGUUUUAUUUCGAUCAUGUCCUGCAUUAGAAACACGUCUAAAACAAUACACCCACUUUAUAUAUUUGUCAUCACUUUAUUUUAAAUAACAAAAUUGGAUGAGCAUAAUUUUAGUCAUUUCUUCAUGUAGUCUUUAGUAGUUCUCUUAAAGGAGAUGUUUACUGCUUUUUGUUCCAUUCUCUGUCACCAUGACCUGUUUCGCUUCCUUAAGGAUGACUUGUUGACAGCCACCCUUCCACUCAGACCACUUCUAACGAGUCUUUGGUGAACAGUAAAUGGGUCAGUAAAGGGCCUGUACCAGAUCUCUGCUGGAUUUUUCUCGUAUUUCUUAAGGACAUGACAUUCAGAUACAGUUUGCCUGCUGUAGCAUUUUAGGCCUGCCACUCCUUUAAUCCUUCACUUGUUUGUUUUUCCCCCCAAAUUUUUAAGCACACACUUGACACAAUCUUAUGUCAAAUAUUCAGUUAACAGCUCUUUGGGAAUCACGUCAUUGGUGAAAAAAAACACUCUUACAUCUGUUAGGCUAUUAUCUUUGUAGAUUCUGAAGCAGCAGGAAGAAAUUAAAUUUUUUUUUUUAAAGGUAGUGACUAAGUGCAUACCUAAAUUCAAGAUGGAUUUGGUUUUCUCCUCUCUUUUUUUAAAAGCAGGCAGGUAUAAAUGAGCUCAGCAGCAGCCAAUCUCCAAAGAAAAACUUUUAGCUUUUGAAGAGCUUCAGAAGGCCUAGAGAACUACUUAAAAACCACUUAAAAUUUCCAAGAAAAUCUGUCUCUUAGUGUGGAAAAUGAGAAGAAAUAAGGGGGUUGCACAGUAUUUUAUAUCAGUCCAGCUGGACUCUUUUUUUUUUUUUUUUUGUUGCGCCGACCUCCAGUCACAAUUUAAUCCAGUGGAGAGAGUCUCUGUGGAAGUGUAUAAGACACUCAGGAAACAUUACCAUCAUAUUUAGUGUGCAGCUUCUUCUGCCUGUUGCUAUAGUAACACGUUGACAGUAACAGAACAGUAACUUGUAUUGUGGUAAUGUGAUAUAAACUGAAUGCAGAAAACCAAUUACAAAGAAAACUGAUUUAUUCACAAGGUCACACAUUUUAAAAGUCCAAACAAAAAGACCGUAUCUAUCAUCUCACAAUUCAAAUACAAAUGCUUUGUCUCUUUACUGAGGAACAAGAAAGGGACAAUAAUGUAAAAAAACAAAACAAAAAAACAAAAUGUAGGGAUCAUUUUCUUCAGGUGCCUCCUCCACUCUCAUA